AAGAGCUCAAAUUUGAAAGCUGGCCCUGGUCCGCAUUGUAAUUUGCAGAGGUGUUUCGGGAGAGCCCCCAUCUAAGUGUCCUGGAACGGACCGUCAUAGAGGGUGAGAAUCCCGUAUGGUGGGGUGUCGCGCCCUGUGAAACUCCUUCGACGAGUCGAGUUGUUUGGGAAUGCAGCUCUAAAUGGGUGGUAAAUUUCAUCUAAAGCUAAAUAUUGGCCGGAGACCGAUAGCGCACAAGUAGAGUGAUCGAAAGAUGAAAAGCACUUUGAAAAGAGAGUUAAAAAGCACGUGAAAUUGUUGAAAGGGAAGCGCUUGCGAUCAGACUCGCCUGGGGGUUCAGCCGGAUUCGUGCCGGUGUACUUCCCCAGCGGGCCAGCGUCGGUUUGGGUGGCCGGUCAAAGGCCCUUGGAAUGUACGCCUCGGGGUCUUAUAGCCAAGGGUGCCAUGCGGCCACCGGACCGAGGAACGCGCUCGCUCGGACGUG
rnacentral:rRNA from 1 species